GUGCCUGGGUGUGGGAAGUGGAGAGAGGGUAGUUGUUUCAUCUAUCCCGGCAGUAUGAGCUUAUGCAAGCUUCUGAAAGACAAACAAAUCUACAAUGGUAUAAAAUACCUUUGGAAAUAUUUAAAGGACUCACAGAACAAUUUAUGUGGUAUAUACUUAGAUAAAUGCUGUUUCGAAAGAUAAUUUGGACUUGCCUAAGAGAAUGGGAGUGAAUUUUCAUAACUGGUCUCCAGAACUAACUGAAAGGGCAAGACUGAGUAAACACGUGCCAGAGUCGGUCUGAGUAAACAAAGCCAGAAAGUGGAUGAAAGGCUACUGCUGAAUCAACAGAGAACAGCUGUCACAUUCGUCCCCCAAACUGUGCCCAGAUACUUUGGCUAUUUCUGAAAUGUGACAGUAAAUGAUUUUUAUGAAGAGAA